rnacentral:rRNA from 1 species
AUUGAACGCUGGCGGCAUGCCUAACACAUGCAAGUCGAACGAGUGGCGCGGGGGUGUGAUAUGUGGGGAAAACGGCCUGAUGGAGGGGGAAAACUACUGGAAAGGGGAGCAAAUACCGCAUACUAUCGGGUGUGCCGAGAUGGGAUUAGCGAGUAGGUGGGGUAAAGGCUCACCUAGGCGACGAUCCCUAGUUGGUCUGAGAGGAUGACCAGCCACACUGGAACUGAGACACGGUCCAGACUCCUACGGGAGGCAGCAGUGGGGAAUAUUGCGCAAUGGGCGCAAGCCUGAUGGAGCCAUGCCGCGUGUAUGAAGAAGGCCUUCGGGUUGUAAAGUACUUUCAGCGGGGAGGCGGUACCCGCAGAAGAAGCACCGGCUAACUCCGUGCCAGCAGCCGCGGUAAUAC